rnacentral:rRNA from 1 species
ACACAUGCAAGUCGAACGAUGAACCUCACUUGUGGGGGGAUUAGUGGCGAACGGGUGAGUAACACGUGAGUAACCUGCCCUUGACUCUGGGAUAAGCCUGGGAAACCGGGUCUAAUACUGGAUACGACCUUCUGGCGCAUGCCAUGUUGGUGGAAAGCUUUUGUGGUUUUGGAUGGACUCGCGGCCUAUCAGCUUGUUGGUGGGGUAAUGGCCUACCAAGGCGACGACGGGUAGCCGGCCUGAGAGGGUGACCGGCCACACUGGGACUGAGACACGGCCCAGACUCCUACGGGAGGCAGCAGUGGGGAAUAUUGCACAAUGGGCGCAAGCCUGAUGCAGCGACGCCGCGUGAGGGAUGAAGGCCUUCGGGUUGUAAACCUCUUUCAGUAGGGAAGAAGCCUGUCUUUUGGGUGGGUGACGGUACCUGCAGAAGAAGCGCCGGCUAACUACGUGCCAGCAGCCGCGGUAAUACGUAGGGCGCAAGCGUUAUCCGGAAUUAUUGGGCGUAAAGAGCUCGUAGGCGGUUUGUCGCGUCUGCCGUGAAAGUCCGGGGCUUAACUCCGGAUCUGCGGUGGGUACGGGCAGACUAGAGU